rnacentral:rRNA from 1 species
UACGGAGGGUGCAAGCGUUAUCCGGAUUUACUGGGUUUAAAGGGUGCGUAGGCGGGCUGUUAAGUCAGUGGUGAAAGCUCCAUGCCUAACAUGGAAAAUGCCAUUGAUACUGACAGCCUUGAGUACAUUUGAAGUGGGCGGAAUGUGUCAUGUAGCGGUGAAAUGCUUAGAUAUGACACAGAACACCGAUUGCGUAGGCAGCUCACUAAACUGUAACUGACGCUGAGGCACGAAAGCGUGGGGAGCAAACAGG